GCCGCGUUCGUCUAGGGGUGUAGGACGCCGCCCGUUCACGGCGGUAGCACGGGUUCGAAUCCCGUACGCGGUA
rnacentral:tRNA from 1 species